rnacentral:misc_RNA from 1 species
UCUUAGCCCUGAUUGAGCGGCGUGUCUGAGCUCUUUUUCUGAUUGCUGAGCUCGGCGAAGUAAACAGAAAAAAGCGAGUAGCGAAAGCAGGUAGAAAA